rnacentral:rRNA from 1 species
GACGAACGCUGGCGGCGUGCCUAACACAUGCAAGUCGAGCGAGAAUCUACUAAUUGAUUCCUUCGGGAUGAUUUUGGUAGAGGAAAGCGGCGGACGGGUGAGUAACGCGUGAGUAACCUGCCUUCAGGAGGGGGGACAACAUUCCGAAAGGGAUGCUAAUACCGCAUGACAUUACGUUAUCGCAUGGUAAUGUAAUCAAAGAUUUAUCGCCUGAAGAUGGACUCGCGUCUGAUUAGAUAGUUGGUGGGGUAACGGCCUACCAAGUCGACGAUCGGUAGCCGAACUGAGAGGUUGAUCGGCCGCAUUGGGACUGAGACACGGCCCAGACUCCUACGGGAGGCAGCAGUGGGGGAUAUUGCACAAUGGAGGAAACUCUGAUGCAGCAACGCCGCGUGAGGGAAGACGGUCUUCGGAUUGUAAACCUAAGUUAUCAGGGACGAUUAUGACGGUACCUGAAGAGAAAGCUCGGCUAACUACGUGCCAGCAGCCGCGGU